rnacentral:rRNA from 1 species
AGUAACACGUAUCCAACCUGCCGUCUACUCUUGGACAGCCUUCUGAAAGGAAGAUUAAUACAAGAUGGCAUCAUGAGUCCGCAUGUUCACAUGAUUAAAGGUAUUCCGGUAGACGAUGGGGAUGCGUUCCAUUAGAUAGUAGGCGGGGUAACGGCCCACCUAGUCUUCGAUGGAUAGGGGUUCUGAGAGGUUGAACGGCCACAUUGGGACUGAGACACGGCCCAG